rnacentral:rRNA from 1 species
CCCUUAGAUGUUCUGGGCCGCACGCGCGCUACACUGACGGAUUCAACGAGCUUACAACCUUGGCCGAAAGGUCUGGGUAAUCUCCAAAAUCCGUCGUGAUGGGGAUAGAUUAUUGCAAUUACUAAUCUUCAACGAGGAAUGCCUAGUAAGCGCAAGUCAUCAGCUUGCGUUGAUUACGUCCCUGCCCUUUGUACACACCGCCCGUCGCUCCUACCGAUUGAAUGGUCCGGUGAAGCGUUUGGACUAUGGUUUUCUGAUGGUCCGCCGUUGGAUUACCGUGGGAAGUUCGUUAAACCUUAUCAUUUAGAGGAAGGAGAAGUCGUAACA